CCUACGGGCGGCAGCAGUGGGGAAUAUUGCGCAAUGGGGGAAACCCUGACGCAGCAACGCCGCGUGCAGGAAGAAGGCCUUCGGAUUGUAAACUGUUUUCGCAGGGGAGGAAGACAGUGACGGUACCCUGUGAGAAAGUCACUGCUAACUACGUACCAGCAGCCGCGAUAAUACGGAGGUGACAAGCGUUGUCCGGAUUUACUGGGUGUAAAGGGCGCGUAGGCGGUAUAGCAAGUCAGUGGUGAACUGCCGAGGCUUAACCUCGGAGCUACGAUUGAAACUGUUAUUCUUGAGUAUCGGAGAGGAAAGCGGAAUUCCUAGUGUAGGGGUGAAAUGCGUAGAUAUUAGGAGGAACACCAGUGGCGAAGGCAGCUUUCUGGACGACAACUGACGCUGAGGCGCGAAAGUGUAGGGAGCAAACAGGAUUAGAUACCCUUGUAGUC
rnacentral:rRNA from 1 species